rnacentral:lncRNA from 1 species
AUGAGAUGGACACUAAUGCUGCUCCUUUAUAAUAAUAGUACCUAAGAGUAUUGAUGGCUUUCAUUUGUCAACCAGCACUCUAAUGCACAGCUGCUGACGAUAAAAGGCCAACUCUUACCAGAGAUCAGUGGGAGUCACGGGCAUCUGUUACCAAGGAAUUGGACUCCUUAAGAGAUGGUUGGGUUGACUAAAUUAUUCUCUGUAAAAUGUCUCUGAGUGAAAAAGAGUUGCCUGGCACAAACAAAUCUGCGUUGGGACUCCAGUGCAACCGAG